rnacentral:lncRNA from 1 species
UAACUCUUCCGCAGGAGCACGAGAAGAGGCUACCGUUAUUGAGCAUUGCAAAUGGUCUUUCGCUAUAGUUUUCAAUUCGUAAAAAAAAAAAACAGUUGAAAUAUAAAAAAAACACGAAAAAAACGAAAAUCAGCAUCUAGCAUGUCUGUUGCAUUCAGCUAGAGGGCCGAAUAUCAUUCUGGAGAAUACGGAGAAUACGAGUAAUUAAGACGCACACACUGGGGACCCUUCGCAUGAGUAAUUCUAAUCUCUGGCCAUUUGUAGUGGGCAGUGAUGUAAAAAAAAAUCUUUAUAUAGUGACAGCUCCUUACAUUUUAACUGCGAAUACUUCAGGCAGUAACCAAUGUAGACGCGGGUAACUACGAUGGCAGAAAAGUGCACUUCCAUAGGGCGACGUCACCACUCGUGUACUUCUCCAGCCUGCCAUAUUAGCGCGGAAUUACGCAGUACUAUGAUUUACAUGCUGACGACUUUUUCAAAAUCUCGAAGUUCAAAUUCGGUUCGCUAAGACGUGAAAUAUGCACACUAUCAUGUUAAAUAUCGAAGGUUGUGAAAAAAUGCCCCAAUGACAUCAUGCAGGCUGUCCAAAUUUGGUGCCAACCCACGCACCCUCCCCGUAAUUAACAGCGCCGCGUAAAGUGCAUAAGUUACUCACGAUGCUCGUGUAGAAAGUGCAAACAAUUCCUAUAGACAAGACCGAUGUCCAGGUGGAAAUGCCGGUUACUGCGCAGGAGCAGACAGUUGUGCACAGUAAGUCGUGAGGUGUCAGUGGUGGUCUUUAGCUAGCUCCUGAUUAUACUCAUUAACAAAGCAGAUAACAAACGCACGGUCUACUUACUGUACUUGUCUGACAGAUUUAAAGUACCACAGCAGCGCCUAUUAUCAAUGCUAACCAACGCUCAUUCGGCAUCUCAUUUAGGUACUGGCUACACUCGUGGGGUACGGUACUGCUUUGUAUGUUGCCACGGCGAAUGCAUUCAAGUACCUACUUUGCCGGAGUGGACAGGCAUGCGAGCAUAUAUAUCAGCCCAGCAACAUCUGUAACAACGAGAUUAUGUAGCAACGAGACUCUAUAGAACCACUACUUGCAACGGCAGAUUCCAAAAAUUUAGGAUGGAAUAAAUAAAUAAGAGGAAAGAAAACGAAAGUAACCACAGGAAGCGCGAAGGAACGUCAGAAACGCGACUACAAAAAUCAAGGUAAUCCUGGCUUCCUCUCACCGUUAACAAACAAACAAUAAAAACACAUCCGAGUACAUGAAUUGAAAGUCACCGCACGCAUGCAUACAAACCCCGAAAAAGAAAGCUGAAGGCAUUGUCACAUAUUUCAAUGGGACUGAGAACUCCCGUUAUAAGUGUACGUCAACAUAAAGGCGUGUAGAACACUAUAGCCAUCACAGCAUAUUUUGCGUCAAUACGUUUUGCGUCAAAGAAGAGUAGAAUGAAGCAGUGCAUGGAACAUUCUCGUCAUUGUACUCUCGUCAAGCAGUACGACUUAAUCUUCAAGGGGGGGGGGGGGGGGGGGGGGGGGCGAAUAUUGGUAGGACUGCGUGAAACGUAUAUUAUGCAAGCGUGUACGUCCUAAUAAGGACUGGUAACAAGUUCACCCGUGCACUUGUACUGUUUUCAGAAUAUGAUAGUUAUAUAGUGGAAGUCGGGGGAUAUCGGAAGUCGGGCGAAUUCAGGUAAUAUCGGGUGAAUUAACGGAAGUCUAUUAAUAGGGCUACAUUGAUUGUUUACCAGAGACAUUAAAAAUAGAAGGACUAUAAGCUGCAAGUUGCAUAAGUCAUUUAUAUGUGACUUGCCAUUAAGAUGAAAGAAUGUCAUACUUUUUUUAGAGUAUUGGACUACACGUUGCAUAGGCCAUCGUGCCCAACAUAGUUUUCAAGUGGUUUACCAAACACUGAAAGCUACUCAUCGAAUGAGUGAUGGCAUUGAAUAAUAAAUGUGAGCAAAUAAUUCGUAUCGAAAAAAAGUAAAAUUACGUUAACAAGAGAACCUGCAUCGAAGACGCCAUGUUUUAUGUUCAAAGUCAUUGCUUGACAGCAUUAAUAACUGUUUCGAACAAUACGUUGUAAAUUAAAUAAUACGAAUCUAAGAAAUAAAUGUAUUACAAAAAAUGGUGAUGAUUGAUAAAAGUAUUGAUAUCAUUUAUUGUCUAAUAAAGACCCCUUUCAGGGUAUUACUUAAGGGGGUCGGGGCAUAAGACAUCAAUGAACACUACAGUCAUUAUUAUACAAUGGUUCAGUGGUAUACAAUGGUAUAAAUGACUAGUUACCCGAACAAUCGCAAACAAAUAAAGCUGGUAGCACGAUCGGCAGCAAAAGAGGGAGCCCAACCGGCAGUAUAACAGAACAGUACAAAAGGGAGAUGUUAGGGUAACAGCGCAGUGGUGGUAAGUUAAGGGUUUAAGAAACAUGACAAUAGGUGCCUAAAUUUAUCUGAAUCACGUUCAUUUACUAUAUCAUCGGGUAGUGCGUUCUCUAGUUCAAUAGCGAUAGGUAAGAAAGAUUUGUUGAAUGCAUUAGAGGUCCCGUGCAAGCGUUGUAGACUCAGGUUGUUGAACAGACGAUGAGAACUACACGUUAUCUAGACUUUGGCAUGAAGCAUCGUUCUCGGCGUGUUUGUCAGACAAUAAAAGCUGCUCAUCAAAUGAUGUGGUCGCGUUGCAUAAAAGAGCGGAAUAACCAUGAAAAUAAAAGAAUAGAAGUAGCUUCACGAGAGUGACUGCUUCGAGGAAGCAACUAGUGUUUUAAGGCUGCAAUGAUUUUAGAACCGUAAAUAAAAAAAAAAAAAAAAAAAAAAAAAAAAACGUUUGAAAAAGUAUGACCUAAUUUUAUCGGAAACAUGGAUAGAAAGUGGUGGUAAUCAAACGUCACUAUUUCAACACUGCACAUUAUCUAGAUCGUUGUGUGGAGCAUUGUUGUCAACAUCUUCUCAAGCAGCACAACUCAUAUUUAAAAUGGACCAAUGGUACUGAAUAGCACUUGCAAGACAAAGCAUUAAUGCUUUGUUCCUGCAUGUUUUAUAGCACAUAGAGGUACGUUAAUAAACACCUAAAGGUGCGUUAAUAAGAAAUAUCGCUACAAGGAAGUACAAGUAGAAAAUUUCAUUGCUUGGCAAUUUGUGACGAGAACAUAGGAUUUAGAAAAUUAUUGCAACGCAACCUCAAGUUUCUUGGAGGAAACAUUGAGUGCUACAAUAUUGAAAACGCUGUGUCUAAUAGGCGAGGAAGUAAGAAAAACUACUGAACUUUUGCACUGGCAUCGACAAAGAUAUCGCCUAGUACAAGUUAUCGUGGAGUACAAAAGCAAUAGAGGGAACCUAUGAAGAAAUGUGUAAGCCAGUACCUACUUAAAAUCAAAUUGAUUGUUAAAAGGUAGCACUAAUGGCAAAAUGAAACGAAAAGUUGGGGUAGGUCGGCCAGAUAUCAUCAUAAUAUAAAUGUGAUUUAAAAUAUAACGAGCACCGUGACAUAUCCUUGUGAAAGAUCUGUUGAGAUAUACGUGAAAUAUUGUCUUACGAGUGCUCGGCUAUCCACGUACACGUACAGUCAACCGAAAAAGUUUACGGACCACGGGAUCUCAGAAAACGUCCAAUUCCCGAGCAGCCUGUAGUAGUAGCCAGUAAAAUUGUAUCGGACAAUGUUGUUAGCAUAUUCCAGUCGAGGCCCGAAAUGCAACUACCAGGCUGCGUUGUGGGGCUGCGGACAUAUUCACCUUUUUCCCAGAUUUCAUGGUCCGUAAUAUUUUGCGGAAUACUGUACACGUCGCAGUUGAUACACCAUAAAUUAAAAAACUGUAAAAUGAACGCUCGCAGAAGAAAAAAAGAAAAUUAAACAGCAAAAUAAAUCUUGAAACGAAGUCAUAUUUCACUUUACGUUGAUACCUGUAGUGAAGCACUAACGACAAAUGUAAAAACGAAGGCAGAGUUAAUAAAAAGCUUCAGAGGAGGUUUGACCCCAAUGUGACUUCGAUAUGCCUAAUGAAAGGUCGAUGCAGCAUUGUAAUAAGAUAUCAUCCCCAAUGCAUAAGUCAAGGAGUAACUGCGAUUUGUCGAGUAAGAUAUUGGAAUUGAAGAAUACGCAGAGAAAGAAAAUAGCAAGAAGAGCAAGAAGAAUUGCAAGAGCAAGUACAACUUUAGCAUAAGAAUGACAUUCUUCUAAUGACGAUAUUUUUUUAGUUAGAAAAGGAACUACAAUCUCGAUUUUACACAUUACCGCCACCGCAUAUAACGGUCAUGGACUGGAGAAAUGUUUGGUAUGCACUUCAACUGGAUAUUCAUGUCGAACAUCACUCUCAAAAUGUUUGGUCAGAGUAAGAGCUUUUCCUGAAAUAAACUGUUGUGGUUAAAAAUAGAUCAUUAAACAUAUCAUGAAGACAGACGAAAAAGGGAAGAAAGCAAGAGAAGUUGCUUCGAUGAAGCACUGCUUUGAGUUCUUUGAAUCUCGGACAUCACCGACAUUUACACAAACAAAAAAAGAAUGAAUAAAUCUUAUCUGAGAAACCACCGUAAAGAACUAAGCAGUCAGCGAUCCAUGGAAUCAAUCAGUCUCGUGGAGGAACAGUUACCUGCAGCGACAUUCAAAACAGCUUCAUUUGUGGGGCAAAGCACUCAGGCCCACUGGCCAACUUCUGUAAUGUUACCGGAAAAUACGUAUAUUUAAUAUAUUUAGGAGUG